ensembl:lncRNA
GUGUGUGUGUGUGAAAGAUUGAGUGUGUGUGUGUGUGUGUGUGUGUGUGUGUGUGUGUCGGUGGUGACGGUCAGGAGGAGGGCUAGAGGCACUGAUAAAAUUUCACCUCUGUGUUCAAAACCACAAAACUUUAUCAAUAAAAUAGCUUUUACAAGUGUGUGAGACAGCGGUUCCGAGGUGUGAGAUCGUGCGAGCAUGCGGGCGGCGGGGUCCAGACCCAUGGGUCAGAACCAGCAGAGUCUCUGGACCGUCAGAACCUGUUUCUGCUUGUUAUGAUGCAAGAACACACAAAACCAAAAGAGCCAAGGAGACGACCUCAGCUCACAUAGACGACCCAAAGGAAAUCCAGGAGCUCCACCGAGGAACAGAAGAACCAGGAGCUGUGAAUGUGUUAGAGGAACCAGGAGCUGUCAAGAUGUUAGAAGAACCAGGGGCUCUGAAGAUGUUAGAGGAACGUAGAAGAAAGAGGAGCUCUGAUGAUGUUGGAGGAGCCCUGACGAUAUUAGAAGAGCUCAUGAAGAUGUUAGAAGAAGCUGUCACCACAAUAUCGAUCCUAACACCACUUGCCCACUGCAUCCGUCGCGAUCCCGUUGACCUUGAAUGGGGCGGAGCCGCAAUGCAUUGUGGAUCCAUCCGUUGUGUUGGAUCCGUCGGCUCCAUCAAGAAGUUGAAAUAUAUUCAACGUUUCAGGCAGCGACGGAUCCGUCAUCCAAUCAAAUCAGAUCGCUCGGGCUUGGCUGACGUAUGUCUCUGCAAAGACCACUCCCCCAUCCGUCAGCCACGCCUUCCGUCAUCCGUUGACGGACGGUGCAGUGGGCAGACGGUUUAAGUUUCCACACCAAAAAAAGAACAAGGUUCCACGGUAACUGGGUUCCCACAGGACCUCAUCCGGAGAUCGAUCUAGAGCCUUGCCAAUCAUCACAUGAACAGCCCGUCGAGAACGCCGGCCAAUUGAACGAGGACAUCCUGUCUGCUCUGAGGUCACUUCCUGUCACCACAGGACAGCACUUGUGUAGCCGACACCAGCAGGUCUGCAGAGUGAGUCGGGGUGGGAGUGACAGCAGGCUGCAGACUGAGUCUUGGUGGGAGUGACCUCCUAUACGAUGUGUAGCCACAUGUUCCUUAUACGUCAUAACGCACAAAGUGGAUUCCUUUUGUCUUGGCAGAAGACAGAACUUGGUUCUGUGUCUCAAAGAAGGUCUGUAGGCGAACCAGCACCCACCACACACAUAGCUGGUGGCCAUGGGAACAGGACUGGUCUGAACUGUCUGGACGGCUGGUGGAUGUAACAGGUCUUUGUUUAAAAAUCUUAUUUGAGCUUAACUUCACAAGUCACCCAUUUCAUUUGGGUUUUGAACCAACCAAUGAUACGUUGUCCUGUCCCAGGACUACACAUCCCAGCAUGCACUAUGUCUCAAUACGGCUCCAUUCCAACAAUAAAGGGGUUUACACACACAGUAGCCUGUAGUCUAUAGUUGACGUGGAAACAGUCAAAACGUCUACUUUAGGAUAUUGAUAGGCUUAUAUUUCCGUGUUACUGUAAUAGUGUGAUUGGAUUAAGGGUGCUGAUUGUAUGAAUCCAUAAAUAAAUGUACCUCUAUAUGAAUAUAUUUUUUUGUAUAAAACAGGAAUGCAUACCACAUCCAUUUACGAUUUGUCACCAAAAGCCUCAAAGGAUCCCGUCCGCGGCAGUUGAAGUCCCUGUGUGUCCAAGCUCCUAGCCUUACCCCUUACUAUAUGAUACUAUAUAUAUACUAUAUAUAUACCAUUCAAACACCCUGCAUCCACUGUUUCUACCAGGAGGUUAUAACUAAAUAUACCCUAAUAUUACCACCAUGUAUAUUUGUAUGUACCAUGAAGUGAUCACCGUAUAAAUAAUGCUUCCGUAUUUACAUGCAUACACGGUAAAAUUCUUACUACCGUAUAUGCAAGUACAUAGGGUAAGAUAAUUUGUACGGUAUAGACCUGUUAAUACGGUAACAUCGUGACCAUAAACAUUCAUAUUUGAUCUGCCUGUUCAUGCAGUCAGACGGUCCUCAGAGUCCGUCUGGAACCUUGUCCGGUUGGCUUCGGUUUGCAGUCUUCUUGGAAACAACAUGGCCCCCAUCAGGGGGUACCGUUAGCGUUAGCAUGUUAGCAUGACAUUAGCCAGACCGUAGCUGAGCUGUAGAGGAAAUAGAGGUCAUUAUCUGGCACGGUAACUCAUUGGUCCAGUCCGGUCACGUGACGAAUCUCGCAGUGUGCCAAUCGCUGCCCUCGUGUGGACGAGUAGAUGGGAAGGUCAUCUGGAGGUCACUAAAGGAGGAAGUUGGAACCAGGAAAUGUCUGUUCGUCUGUCUGUCUGUCUGUCUGUCUGUCUGUCUCUCUAUUGCAGUGGGUUAGAAGUAAGUCUUUUUGCAAGAUGACAAGUUCUCCUCAUCCUUGUCCUCCUGCCUCUGUCCCUCCUCCUCCUCCACCUCCUCCUCCUCCUCCUCCUGCUCC